rnacentral:misc_RNA from 1 species
GAAAUGCGGUAAGUAAUGUGAAUUGCAGAAUUCAGUGAAUCAUCGAAUCUUUGAACGCACAUUGCGCCCGCCAGUAUUCUGGCGGGCAUGCCUGUCCGAGCGUCAUUUCAACCAUCAAGCCCCCGGGCUUGUGUUGGGGACCUGCGGCUGCCCGCAGGCCCUGAAAACCAGUGGCGGGCUCGCUGUCACACCGAGCGUAGUAGCAAUCACCUCGCUCAGGGCGUGCUGCGGGUUCCGGCCGUUAAACAGCCUUACAAAACCCAAGGUUGACCUCGGAUCAGGUAGGAAGACCCGCUGAACUUAAGC